rnacentral:rRNA from 1 species
UACAGAGGUCCCAAGCGUUGUUCGGAUUCACUGGGCGUAAAGGGUGCGUAGGUGGCCAGGUAAGUUCGGUGUGAAAGCUCGGAGCUUAACUCCGAAAUGGCAUUGAAUACUAUCUGGCUAGAGGGUCGGAGGGGAGACUGGAAUUCUCGGUGUAGCAGUGAAAUGCGUAGAUAUCGAGAGGAACACCAGUGGCGAAGGCGAGUCUCUGGACGACUCCUGACACUGAGGCACGAAG